UUUUUUAAAAAGUGAAUUUAGUGAAAAAUAUUUUUAUAGUGAUUUUCUUAUAUCCCUUAUAAAAGUUUCGAAACAUGAUUCAAUAAAAAUGACUAUGUAUGAGAUUAAUGGUUCGAAGAAUUUUAAAAAUAUCCAAGCUCUCUGUAAAUUGAUAUAUUGAUUCUUAUGUAUUAACAGAGAUACGAAGAACCAGUAAAUUUCAAAUAAAUUGGCUGUGAUAUGCAUGAUGUUUGGAUCAGUGGUAAAACAGCCACAAAAGGAUUUGAAUACAUGGAUUUUUUAAAAAAU